rnacentral:lncRNA from 1 species
UUGUUAUACAUUAAACUCAUGCCUAUUAGUACUACAAACUAAUACUACUCUUGCAAGUUCCAAAAUGCAUACCCUAAAACCAUCCUCUUUUACACUAAAAGUAUUACUCUUUCUACUUUCUUUUUUAACCCUAAAACCUCUUGUCGAUGCUAAUACUCAAAACCUAAUUGGUUUUAACAUCCAACAAGUUACUCUCGACCCCAACAACUCUUCUGCAUAUGAAUCUGACGAUGAAGACAUCAUUAAUAGAACUCCUUUAACCAUCGAAUCUGAAAUAAUUGCAGAAGAAUUUCGAUAUCUCAUGAAAUUCGGUGUUAAAACUUACGGCAAUCAUGACGUCGAUACAUAUGCCAUUCCAGACACCGGAAGCGAUCUCAUAUGGCUUCAAGAUAGGAUUUGCAAUGAUGGAAAAG